rnacentral:tRNA from 1 species
AGUGCAGCACUCGAAAGGGAUAAACAGUGAUAUUGUUUAGGUUGUAGAUUCUUCAUCUACCUGUGCUA